AUGAACGCUGGCGGCGUGCUUAACCCCUGCAAGUCGAACGAAGCACUUUAUUUGAUUUCCUUCGGGACUGAUUAUUUUGUGACUGAGUGGCGGACGGGUGAGUAACGCGUGGGUAACCUGCCUUGUACAGGGGGAUAACAGUUGGAAACGGCUGCUAAUACCGCAUAAGCGCACGGCAUCGCAUGAUGCAGUGUGAAAAACUCCGGUGGUAUAAGAUGGACCCGCGUUGGAUUAGCUAGUUGGUGAGGUAACGGCCCACCAAGGCGACGAUCCAUAGCCGACCUGAGAGGGUGACCGGCCACAUUGGGACUGAGACACGGCCCAAACUCCUACGGGAGGCAGCAGUGGGGAAUAUUGCACAAUGGGCGAAAGCCUGAUGCAGCGACGCCGCGUGAGCGAAGAAGUAUUUCGGUAUGUAAAGCUCUAUCAGCAGGGAAGAUAAUGACGGUACCUGACUAAGAAGCACCGGCUAAAUACGUG
rnacentral:rRNA from 1 species